rnacentral:rRNA from 1 species
UACGCAGGGGGCUAGCGUUGUCCGGAAUCAUUGGGCGUAAAGCGCGUGUAGGCGGUCCGGUAAGUCCGCUGUGAAAGUCGGGGGCUCAACCCUCGAAAGCCGGUGGAAACUGUCGGGCUAGAGUGCGGAAGAGGCGAGUGGAAUUCCUGGUGUAGCGGUGAAAUGCGCAGAUAUCAGGAGGAACACCAAUUGCGAAGGCAGCUCGCUGGGACGUUACUGACGCUGAGACGCGAAAGCGUGGGGAGCAAACAGG